GGCUUGUUUUAAGUUGCCUGUGAUUGUUGGAAAGAGCACAGGCAGCUAAAGCAAGUCUG
rnacentral:pre_miRNA from 1 species